AUCGCUUUAAUUGUCUCCAGCGUGCCACAGAUCAAUCUCACAGCCGUUUCAGAUGUGCUCAAAUCAGAACACACACCUAAUCACCGGCAGCAAUUAUUAAGCAGACCGCAUGCAGAAACGACUUCAGUGGACAUAAAUACGCAAAGACUCCGGUGAAAAGAGACGGUCUGUGAGCUUCAUAUGUCCACCCUCCUUCCUUCCUUCCCUCCCUCCAAAAUGGAAUUGCAUCCUUUGUCCAGAGACACAGGGGAACGGGGUGUUGACCAAGAGGCAGCCUUAAGCCGAAUGUGACCCCCACGCCCGUGAGGCCUGAAACCUGCCCCCAUUGAGCCGAACGGCCCCGCUCUCAAAGUAGUGAAUUGGGGUGGGGGUUGGGAAGGUUACGAGCCAGCGAUCAAGCGCCAGAUCUGCUCACUCCAACACUUGUGUCUCAAGACUUUCUGACGAACAAAGACGAAAACAUGCAUUGCUUUAUCAAAGGGAAUUCCAAUUUGACUUCUCAAGUUAACAUGAACGCAUUAUGUUUGAACAAUACAGCAGAUGC